GUCAGAGGAUCAAAGAUUAAAAACACCGCGUCCUGCGGUAACGUCUUUGUGACCCCCAUCCUGGGGG
rnacentral:sRNA from 1 species